UACGUAGGCAGCGAGCGUUGUUCGGAGUUACUGGGCGUAAAGGGUGUGUAGGCGGUUUUCUAAGUUUGGUGUGAAAUCUCCCGGCUCAACCGGGAGGGUGCGCCGAAAACUGGGAGACUAGAGUGCGGGAUGGGAGAGUAGAAUUCCUGGUGUAGCGGUGAAAUGCGUAGAUAUCGGGAGGAACACCAGUGGCGAAGGCGACUACCUGGCCUGUUCUUGACGCUGAGGCGCGAAAGCUAGGGGAGCAAACGGG
rnacentral:rRNA from 1 species